rnacentral:lncRNA from 1 species
UUUUCUUCCUUUUUCACUAUUCUUUCCCCCUCAAUUAGUCGUUGUGAUGUGUAUUUUUAUGAUUUAUCUAGUAUAACAUAAAAAUCAAGACCUAAGCUUCAGUCAUUAUUGGUGGCCGCGAGGAGACAACAUUUUUAAUUUUUGCUCGAUGUAAGGACACCCCAACCAUUCCUUGUAAUUGCUUAUUGAAGUUUAAAGUCCAAAGUAUCUAAUCUAUGGCUUGUUUGAACAAUAAAAAAAAUAAUGCUCUGGUAUUGAUGGAGGAAUUGAAUUCGUUUAUGUGAUUUUCCCUUAUGUAUAUUUUGUUUGUUUUUUGUGUGUUUUCAGUCAUGAUUAUCAAUCCAAGUUAUGUACA